AUAUUCUGCCCUAUGAAUAAUUUAAAUGGCUGCAGUAUUUUGACUGUGCAAAGGUAGCAUAAUAAUUAGUCAUUUAAUUGUUGACUUGUAUGAAUGAAUGAAUGAGGUAUAAUUUUUAUUAGUUUAAUUAUUAGAAUUUUAUUUUUAGGUAAAAAAGCUUAAUUAAUUUUUAGGGACGAAAAGACCCUAUAGAACUUUAUUAAUUUUUAAUUUAUUUUAUUUGGUUUUUAUUUUUUUUAAAUUUUAUCAAUUUUUUUGGUUGGGGUGACAGUUAAAUUUAACUUUAAUUAGUUUUUUCAUUUUUUUUAUGUUUUUAUUGAUCCUAAUAUUUAGAUUAUAAGUUUAAGUUACCUUAGGGAUAACAGCGUAAUUAUAGUGGAAAGUUCAUAUUUAUACUAUAGUUUGCGACCUCGAUGUUGAAUUA
rnacentral:rRNA from 1 species